rnacentral:lncRNA from 1 species
CCUUGGUUGAGGCUGCUGGCUGGAGAUGGGGUUCACAAAGACAGAGAAGAUCAAGAUGGCUCUACAAAAACAAUUCCAUGGUUUAUUUGUAUCUAUCCUGCUUAUUUAAAUAAUAAGAAGACCAUCGCAGAGGGAAGGCGAAUCCCCAUAAGUAAGGCUGUUGAAAAUCCUACAGCUACAGAGAUUCAAGAUGUAUGUUCAGCAGUUGGACUUAACGUAUUUCUUGAGAAAAAUAAAAUGUACUCUAGAGAAUGGAAUCGUGAUGUCCAAUACAGAGGCAGAGUCCGGGUCCAGCUCAAACAGGAAGAUGGGAGCCUCUGCCUUGUACAGUUCCCAUCACGUAAGUCAGUAAUGUUGUAUGCAGCAGAAAUGAUACCUAAACUAAAAACAAGGACACAAAAAACAGGAGGUGCUGACCAAAGUCUUCAACAAGGAGAGGGAAGUAAAAAAGGGAAAGGAAAGAAAAAGAAGUAACCUAGUAUCAGCAUCAAGUAUGUGGUACUACUGUAAGAGACAUGAAUGGAGACUUCUAAUUUGUAUCGGAGGGAAACAGAAGCUUUUUGUUUGCAUCAUUUAACUGAACUGUGAACCCUUGUGCCUCUCAUCUUUAUCAUCGGAGUUGACAGUGAAACAAAUUUACAUCAGAAGUUUGCAUCUCGCG